CAGGAUUCUCUUAGUAACUGCGAGUGAACAGAGAUUAGCCCAACAUCGAAGCCACCAUGCAUUUGUAUGGGAGGCAAUGUGAUGUUUUGGUGUUUGAACGCACUGUCUGGCUAACUUGAAGUCCAUAUUUGACUGUGGCUUGUAUUUAUACACCCAGAGAUGGUGAUAGGCCCGUUCAGGUUGGUAUUCUGGCAUGACAGUUCAGUGUGUAAUCAUUCAUCAUAGAGUCGGAUUGCUUGAGAGUGCAGUCCAAAAUGGGUGGUAAACUCCAUCUAAGGCUAAAUACCUGUACGAGUCCGAUAGUCAACAAGUACCGUGAGGGAAAGUUGAAAAGUACUCUGAAGAGAGAGUAAAUAGUACGUGAAACCACAUGGAGGUUAAACAAAUAGAGUCAAGCUGCUUGCAUCAUAUCAUUGCAAUAUGCGCAUUUUGUUGCAUGACAUUUGCCGGGACCUGGCGUGUGAUUCUGUCUACUUGUAGGCAUUUGAACAUGUGUUUGUUGUUUGAAAGGUCUCGGUGAGUGUCUGCGCUUAUUGUUCAUGAUGGGUGCUAAUGCCAUAGUCGGUUGUACUACCAGUGCGCAGUAAUCGGCGAUUGUGCGGGCUGACUUAUUGUCGUUCGUGCAAUCAGUGAAACAGUUGGCAACAGUGUGUGCUUGCAUUCGCUUUUGUCAAAGAAGGCCACGGCCUGUUGAUUACUGUGAACAUUGUGAGAGUCGACCGUUCAUAUGUGCUCAUAUAAUUUGUGGUAGUAAGUCGACUUGUCGACUACUUCCAUAAAUGAGCUUAUGAGCUAUGGUAUUGUGGUAGACUUUCUAUUUGACCCGUCUUGAAACACGGACCAAGGAGUUCAACUGUGUCGCAAGUCAAGAAGCGUAAAACCUUCAUGGCGUAAUAAAUGUGAAACAUGAUAGUGUGAUCCGUGUGGCUUUGUAAUGAGGCUGCGCGGCGCAACACUGGCCCGUCCUUAUUUGUGCGUGGUGUGUACCAUGUAGC
rnacentral:rRNA from 1 species